rnacentral:rRNA from 1 species
GACGUAGGGUGCGAGCGUUGUCCGGAUUUAUUGGGCGUAAAGAGCUCGUAGGCGGUUUGUCGCGUCUGCCGUGAAAGUCCGGGGCUCAACUCCGGAUCUGCGGUGGGUACGGGCAGACUAGAGUGGUGUAGGGGAGACUGGAAUUCCUGGUGUAGCGGUGAAAUGCGCAGAUAUCAGGAGGAACACCGAUGGCGAAGGCAGGUCUCUGGGCAUUAACUGACGCUGAGGAGCGAAAGCAUGGGGAGCGAACAGG